UACGUAGGUGGCAAGCGUUGUCCGGAUUUACUGGGCGUAAAGGAUGCGUAGGCGGACAUUUAAGUCAGAUGUGAAAUACCCGGGCUCAACUUGGGUGCUGCAUUUGAAACUGGGUGUCUAGAGUGCAGGAGAGGAAAGCGGAAUUCCUAGUGUAGCGGUGAAAUGCGUAGAGAUUAGGAAGAACACCAGUGGCGAAGGCGGCUUUCUGGACUGUAACUGACGCUGAGGC
rnacentral:rRNA from 1 species